GAAGAGGAGCGCCGGGCUGAGUUCUACCACCAGCCCUGGUCCCAGGAGGCCGUCAGUCGCUACUUCUACUGCAAGAUCCAGCAGCGCAGGCAGGAGCUGGAGCAGUCGCUGGUUGUGCGCAACACCUAGGAGCCCAAAAAUAAGCAGCACGACGGAACUUUCAGCCGUGUCCCGGGCCCCAGCAUUUUGCCCCGGGCUCCAGCAUCACUCCUCUGCCACCUUGGGGUGUGGGGCUGGAUUAAAAGUCAUUCAUCUGACAGCAGCCGUGUGGUCAUUGGAAACUGGGGAGGGGAGGGGGAGGGAAGGGGGAGGGAAGAAGGUGGGGAGGCAGUGGGUCCCUCGGGACAACUCCCCAUACCCUUCCCUUGGAUUCUUCUCCUUACUCAAUUUUCCCUAGACCUAAAAACAGUUUGGCAGAAGACAUGUUUAAUAACAUUUUCAUAUUUAAAAAAUACAGCAACAAUUCUC
rnacentral:sRNA from 1 species